UACAAGAAAUGAAGAUUCUGAAAAAGAAGCUGAUGACCAAGAUAAGGGAUAGAAAGAUGACGUGUUUGCUUGAAGAGUGAGUGUGACUUGGACAGCUGGACUGAGAUUCUGCAGAGUGACCCCAUGACCCCAUGUGGCCUGCAUUUCCUUUUCUCAUGAGAGAUUUCCGUGCUUUGGACUCUCCAGACCCACAGACCAGGGUUUGGCUGCUGAACCUGGUUUGGAGGAGACAGAGCAAGAUGCUGCCUCAGGAGCUCAUCCUCCACAGCCAACCCAGGCAGCACGGGCCUUAGGCCGACCCCGGGGAUGUGUGACCAAAAGUCAGGAACCUCUGGACAUGGAUUGCUGACAUCUGGUCCACAAGAUUCCAGACAAGUUAAUAUCUUGGUGCCUGCCUUCUUUACAAGGCAAGUUCCAAGGGAAGGACUGUGGCUCCCCUUCCUAGCCGCCUGGCGAAGGCGCACAAGGAUCCCUC